rnacentral:rRNA from 3 species
AAAUUGAAGAGUUUGAUCAUGGCUCAGAUUGAACGCUGGCGGCAGGCCUAACACAUGCAAGUCGAACGGUAACAGGAAGCAGCUUGCUGCUUCGCUGACGAGUGGCGGACGGGUGAGUAAUGUCUGGGAAACUGCCUGAUGGAGGGGGAUAACUACUGGAAACGGUGGCUAAUACCGCAUAACGUCGCAAGACCAAAGAGGGGGACCUUCGGGCCUCUUGCCAUCAGAUGUGCCCAGAUGGGAUUAGCUAGUUGGUGAGGUAACGGCUCACCAAGGCGACGAUCCCUAGCUGGUCUGAGAGGAUGACCAGCCACACUGGAACUGAGACACGGUCCAGACUCCUACGGGAGGCAGCAGUGGGGAAUAUUGCACAAUGGGCGCAAGCCUGAUGCAGCCAUGCCGCGUGUAUGAAGAAGGCCUUCGGGUUGUAAAGUACUUUCAGCGGGGAGGAAGGUGUUGUGGUUAAUAACCACAGCAAUUGACGUUACCCGCAGAAGAAGCACCGGCUAACUCCGUGCCAGCAGCCGCGGUAAUACGGAGGGUGCAAGCGUUAAUCGGAAUUACUGGGCGUAAAGCGCACGCAGGCGGUCUGUCAAGUCGGAUGUGAAAUCCCCGGGCUCAACCUGGGAACUGCAUUCGAAACUGGCAGGCUUGAGUCUUGUAGAGGGGGGUAGAAUUCCAGGUGUAGCGGUGAAAUGCGUAGAGAUCUGGAGGAAUACCGGUGGCGAAGGCGGCCCCCUGGACAAAGACUGACGCUCAGGUGCGAAAGCGUGGGGAGCAAACAGGAUUAGAUACCCUGGUAGUCCACGCCGUAAACGAUGUCUACUUGGAGGUUGUGCCCUUGAGGCGUGGCUUCCGGAGCUAACGCGUUAAGUAGACCGCCUGGGGAGUACGGCCGCAAGGUUAAAACUCAAAUGAAUUGACGGGGGCCCGCACAAGCGGUGGAGCAUGUGGUUUAAUUCGAUGCAACGCGAAGAACCUUACCUGGUCUUGACAUCCACGGAAGUUUUCAGAGAUGAGAAUGUGCCUUCGGGAACCGUGAGACAGGUGCUGCAUGGCUGUCGUCAGCUCGUGUUGUGAAAUGUUGGGUUAAGUCCCGCAACGAGCGCAACCCUUAUCCUUUGUUGCCAGCGAUUAGGUCGGGAACUCAAAGGAGACUGCCAGUGAUAAACUGGAGGAAGGUGGGGAUGACGUCAAGUCAUCAUGGCCCUUACGACCAGGGCUACACACGUGCUACAAUGGCGCAUACAAAGAGAAGCGACCUCGCGAGAGCAAGCGGACCUCAUAAAGUGCGUCGUAGUCCGGAUUGGAGUCUGCAACUCGACUCCAUGAAGUCGGAAUCGCUAGUAAUCGUGGAUCAGAAUGCCACGGUGAAUACGUUCCCGGGCCUUGUACACACCGCCCGUCACACCAUGGGAGUGGGUUGCAAAAGAAGUAGGUAGCUUAACCUUCGGGAGGGCGCUUACCACUUUGUGAUUCAUGACUGGGGUGAAGUCGUAACAAGGUAACCGUAGGGGAACCUGCGGUUGGAUCACCUCCUUA